ensembl:lncRNA
GCAGUGGGGCGCUGUGGGUCCGGGCCCACCUGCACCACGAUGUCCUUCAUGUAGUCGUACUCCUCGGGGGUGCAGGAAGGCGGUGAAAUCCUUCCUUGGUGGCCGCCAUGUCGCCGUCGCGGUCGGCAUCUUGAAGCGCCGCUCGUCCCUCACCAUCAUCUGCUUGUAGUUGAAGCCGUGUCCGCGGUCGGGGUCGUCUGCGGGGCGGGGGCCAAUUAACGCUAAUUAACGCCUCACCGAGUGAUCCGUGACGCCGGGAUUGGCCGUGGGGGCACCUGGGUGCCAUUAAUUAGCAGCGGCCCGGAGUUAAUGAGGGGUGGGGAGCCAUUAAUUAGCAGCGGCCCGGUGUUAACGAGGUGUGGGGACUCAUUAAUUAGCAGGGGCCUGGUGUUAACGAGGCAUGGGAGCCAUUAAUUAGCAGCGGCCUGGUGUUAAUGAGGCGUGGGGGACCAUUAAUUAGCAGUGGUGUUAACGAGGCACCUGGGGGGUGUGGGGAGCCAUUAAUUAGCAGCGGCCCGGUGUUAAUGAGGCGUGGGGAGCCAUUAAUUAGCAGCGGCCCGGUGUUAACGAGGCGUGGGGAGCCAUUAAUUAGCAGCGGCCUGGUGUUAAUGAGGCGUGGGACCAUUAAUUAGCAGUGGUGUUAACGAGGCGCCUGGGAGGGUGUGGGUAUCCAUUAAUUGCAGCGGCCCGGUGUUAAUGAAGUGUUUGGGAGGGCGUGGGGAGCCAUUAAUUAGCAGCAGCCGUUGUUAACGAGGAGUUUGGGGGGGGGGAGCCAUUAAUUAGCAGCGGUGUUAACGAGGCGUCUGGGAGGGCGUGGGGAGCCAUUAAUUAGCAGCGGCCUGGUGUUAAUGAGGCGCCUGGGAGGGCGUGGGGAGCCAUUAUUAGCAG